GAGGGUGUAGCCAAACGGUUAAGGCGUUGGAUUGCAACUCCAAUCAUCCUCGGUUCGAAUCCGAGCACCCUCUCCA
rnacentral:tRNA from 1 species